rnacentral:rRNA from 1 species
GAUGAACGCUGGCGGCGUGCCUAAUACAUGCAAGUCGAGCGCAGCGGGGACGGGUGAGUAACACGUGGCUAACCUCCUAUCAGACUGGGAUAACUUCGGGAAACCGUAGCUAAACCGGAUACUUAUAGAUGGAUCCGCGCUGCAUUAGCUAGUUGGUAAGGUAACGGCUUCCCAAGACAACGAGGCAUAGCCGACCAGAGAGGCGGAUCGGCUACACUGCAGCUGUGAUACGGUCCAGAAUCCUACGAGAGGCAGCAGUGGGGAAUCUUGCGAAAUGGGCGAAAGCCUGACGGAGCGACGCCGCGUGGGUGAGGAAGGGCUUCAGGUCGUAAAGCUCUGUUAUUAGGGAAGCGGUACCUAAUCAGAAAGCCAAGGCUAACUACGUGCCAGCAGCCGCGGUAAUAC